rnacentral:rRNA from 1 species
UACGUAGGUGACCAGCGUUGUCCGGAUUUACUGGGCGUAAAGAGCGCGCAGGCGGUCGUUCAAGUCGAGUGUGAAAGCCCCCGGCUCAACUGGGGAGGGUCACUCGAUACUGAUCGACUUGAAGGCAGGAGAGGGAAGCGGAAUUCCCGGUGUAGUGGUGAAAUGCGUAGAUAUUGGGAAGAACACCGGUGGCGAAGGCGGCGAGCUGGUCCAUUACUGACGCUGAGGCGCGACAGCGUGGGAGCAAACAGG